rnacentral:tRNA from 1 species
UCCCGUGUGGCUCAGUUGGUAGAGCAUGGCACUUGCAACGCUUGGUCUAUUGGGUUCGAUUCCCACGGGGGGA